rnacentral:rRNA from 1 species
UACGUAGGCAGCGAGCGUUGUUCGGAGUUACUGGGCGUAAAGGGUGUGUAGGCGGUUGUUUAAGUUUGGUGUGAAAUCUCCCGGCUCAACUGGGAGGGUGCGCCGAAUACUGAAUGACUAGAGUGCGGGAGAGGAAAGUGGAAUUCCUGGUGUAGCGGUGAAAUGCGUAGAUAUCAGGAGGAACACCGGUGGUGUAGACGGCUUUCUGGACCAUUGCUGACGCUGAGACACGAAAGCGUGGGUAGCAAACAGG